CCCUAAAGGACAAAGAAAUAGUUAACCUAUAGAUACCACAAUCCUGCAAGACGUAAGUCUCCCUCAGUUUACAAAUGUCUUAGCGGUUUACACGAACGAAGCAUUUCUAUCAAUAACCUAGCUUCUGCAAGGGAAUGUAGAUAGAAUUGCAUGCUAACCAGAUUGAUAGCUCUUUCUCGAUUCCGUGGGUGGUGGUGCAUGGCCGUUCUUAGUUGGUGGAGCGAUUUGUCUGGUUAAUUCCGAUAACGAACGAGACUCUGGCAUGCUAACUAGUUACGCGACCCCCGAGCGGUCGGCGUCCCCCAACUUCUUAGAGGGACAAGUGGCGUUCAGCCACCCGAGAUUGAGCAAUAACAGGUCUGUGAUGCCCUUAGAUGUCCGGGGCUGUACGCGCGCUACACUGACUGGCUCAGCAUAUGCCUACCCUUCGCUGGCAGGGGCGGGUAACCCGUUGAACCCCAUUCGUGAUGGGGAUUGGGGAUUGCAAUUAUUCCCCAUGAACGAGGAAUGUCAAGUACAUCCCAUGGUUGGGGGGGAGGGUCGCGAGGUAUCAGUUUCUGCUUU
rnacentral:ncRNA from 1 species